rnacentral:lncRNA from 1 species
AGCAACACCUUCUUCUGCAAUUAUAAACAUCUCUACUUGUUCAGAAUCCUUGAAGAAGUUGAUCAUACGCUUGAGGUCCUUAUCUUUAGAUAUUGUUAUGAGAGUCUUCUUAUUCCCCGGGAGAAAAUACUUAAUUGUCAUUCCAUCAGCACGACACUCAAAAUUUUCCGCUACUUCUUGCUUAAAAUCAUUCAGAAGUGUCUGGUCAUCAAGGUCUAAUGCAUAUGCCUCCCCACCAACAUAUGUCAAAGAUCCAUCUUCAUUGUUGGUAAUAAACUCC